rnacentral:lncRNA from 1 species
UAUAUUGCUGCUUCUCACAAGACUGACAUUUUAAGGACACAGAGACAGAAAGCAGAACUUCACAUUUGGUGCUGUAGUUUGUUAGGCAAAAAAAUAAGCACUCAUUUCACUGCUUCACAUUUGGUGUUCUGGUUUGCUAAUGGUCCCAGAUUCUAUCAGUUAUUCAGUUUCAGCCUUUUCUCCCUUUUUUUUUUUUUUUUUUCUUUUUUUUUUUUUUUUUUUUUUUUUUUU